rnacentral:snRNA from 1 species
AGUUGAAGAUGUGUGGCAUCUGUCAUAGGGCUGAUUUGGCUGAUUUGGUGGGUGUCCUCUUCCUCCCUGACAGCUCCAUGUGCUUCCCGAAACUGUGUGCUUGGUUGAAGAGGACCUUCCCUGAUAGAGGAGGACUGGUCUUCAACGAGUAGAUGUACUCACCCGCUAGAAUCUCCACUAAGCUCUCAAGGUUCAUUAAAGCUGGACCAGAUAAUCUCCUUUGGAUCUUUAAAAACACCAAAACCCAAAGUUCUUC